rnacentral:miRNA from 1 species
CAUAACAUGCAACAUUUCCUUCU